UGACGACUGAAUAUAAUGGCUGAUGUCGUUCUUAAUCUGUCUAAUUCUCGCUCCAAUUUCAUGGCUGUUGUGAAGGUUUUUUAAUUGUCAUUGCUGCUGAGUUUGCCAUUGCUUUUUCCUCUUUGUUCAUUUUAUUGUUUCGGCUAUGUAAGUUCUCUUUUUUAAAUAAUAUACUUUGUAAAAGAAUGUGAUGUAUUACAAAGUUCUUAAUAUUUUUCUUUUUAAUAACUUGCAGUUGUUGUAUUGUUGUCUUUUUUUUGUGCUGCUGUCUGCUGCCUGCUGCUGAAUACUGCUGCAGCCGAUAAAUU
rnacentral:lncRNA from 1 species